GAGCAGCCAACCCCUGCAAACGAUACCUACCGAUAAAAUCUUACCGCUAUAUAAACCAUUCCUUUUCUUCCACUUCUCCAUCGCCCUGGUGAAUAUUCCACAUUUUCUUUCUCUGUCUGCCAAUGACUAUUCGACAGGAUACGUCUCCAUCAGCAAUCUGAUCCCACGAUGGACGAUUGAUCCUCCGUGUGGUUGGCAAUUGUAUCGGAAUCUGGUUUGCAGAGCUUUCCAUCUCCACCCAGUGGGAGUUUUAUCUUGGGCGAGAGUCUCUUCACUUCUUCUGUUGUGUAAAUGAAUAUCUUCCUUACCAUGCUGCAGAACUCGUUCCAAGGAUCAUCUCCAACCAUCAUCAUAUCAUCUUCAUCAUCGGUGUAAACAACCUGCCAUUUCUUUAAAGAGCCACAGAGCUCACCCUCUAUGUCAAAC
rnacentral:misc_RNA from 1 species